AUGUUUCGUGUAUUGUACCAGUACCUGGUACCUGUGCAAGUUAGAUCAAUUGACUUCGAAUCGACUGAAGUGGUAAUUCUUGAGGAAAUUGAUGAUUCUGAGGAGUGUGGUGUUAGUAUGAAGAAAGGGGUAUGCUAUCGAUGUUUCAAGGGAAACCGGUUCAUGGAGAAAGAGGCUUGCAUUGUUUGUGGAGCCAAUUAUUGUUAUGACUGUGUGCUGAGAGCAAUGGGGUCAGUGCCAGAAGGAAGGAAAUGUGUUACUUGCAUUGGUUUUAGGAUUCGUGAGGCUAGGCGAGGGAAAUUGGGGAAGUGUUCUAGGUUGCUCCAGAGGCUGCUUACUGAUUUGGAAGUUAAAAAUAUAAUGAAUGCUGAGAUGCUAUGUAAACUGAAUCAGGUGCCACCAGAGCUUGUUUUUGUGAACGGUGAGACCCUUAGUAAAGAUGAGCUCUUCCAAUUACGAAACUGCAAAUACCCACCAAAAAAGCUGAGACCAGGAUACUAUUGGUAUGACAAAUAUUCUGGUUUCUGGGGAAAGGAAGGACAAAAGCCUUCCCAGAUCAUUACCUCCCAGCAAAAUGUUGGGGGCCACAUCAAGACGAAUGCUAGCAACGGAAACGCAAAAGUAUGGAUAAACAGCAGGGAGAUAACUAAAGAAGAGCUUUGGAUGCUAAAGUCAGCUGGGGUGCAUUGUGAAGGAAAGCCUCACCUUUGGGUGAGUGAAGACGGGACAUAUGAGGAAGAGGCGAAUAAGAAAGAAAAGAGUAAAAUAUGGGACAAGACUAGAACAAAGCUGGUUUGCACAGUCUUGUCUCUGCCAGUUCCUCCUGGUUCUGAAAAUCCUUCAGAGAAAGAAGUGAAUGGAGAAAUCCGAGACAACCUUGCACAGAAAUCUAUUCAUAAAUUUCUUUUAGUUGGUUAUGAAAAAUCUGGCACAAGUACAAUAUAUAAACAGGCCAAGAUUCUCUAUGGUAUUUCCUUUCUCUGAAGAUGAGCGCCAAACUAUCAAGUUAUUGAUCCAAAGAAAGUUAUUUGGAUAUCUCGGAAUACUUCUUGAGGGACGAGAACAAUUUGAAGAAGAAAGUUUGCUUGAGAAGAGGAAAAGAUGUGUUAUCAAUAAGUCUGGACCUUCAGGUGAUACAAUUCAGAUUGACGAUACAACAAGCUAUUCUGUUGGGGCAAGAGUGAGAACUUUCUCAAAUUGGCUCCUCCAAGUUUUGCUCAGAUAAUUUGGAAGCCAUAUUUCCAGCUGCUACUUGUGAAUAUGCACCAUUUAUUGAGGAGAUGUGGAAGGACGCAGCCAUUCAAGCCACAUACUACCGGAGGAAUGAAUUACAAAUGCUACCUAGAGUAGCUACUUAUUUCCUAGAUCGGGCUGUCGAGAUUUCUAGGACAGAUUACGAACCCCCUGACAUGGACAUCUUGUAUGCUGAUGGGAUUAACUCAUCCAAUAGCCUUACUUGCGUGGAUUUUUCAUUUCCCAAGUCAACACAAGAUGAUUCACUGAGGUACCAACUAAUUAGAGUGCAUCCCAGAAGCCUAGGAGAACACUGCAAGUGGUUGGACAUGUUUGAAGACACUGCUAUUGUCCUGUUUUGUGUUGCCUUGACUGACUAUGACGAAUAUUCUGUUGACCGUAAUGGAGUUUUAACCAACAAGAUGUUGGCAAGCAAAGAGCUCUUCGAAAGCAUAGUCACUCAUCCAACAUUUGAGAACAAGAACUUUCUUUUGAUUCUCAACAAGUUUGACCUGCUUGUGGAAAAGAUCGAACAAGUCCCUCUCACACAUUGUGAAUGGUUUCGUGACUUCAAGCCUGUUGUCAGCCCGAAUUGUCACAACAGCACUUACCCCUCGUUGGCUCAACGUGCUUCCCACCAUAUAGGAAUGAAGUUCAAGGAACUUUUCCGUUCUCUUACAGAUAACAAGUUGUUUGUUUCACUAGUGAUCGGGUUGGAAAAUGACACAGUAGAUGAAGCUCUUAGAUAUGCAAGGGAGAUUAUCAUGUGGGAUGAAGAAGAGGAACCCUACUUAAAUUUCGAGUUGUCUUCUACUGACAGUGAGGCAAGCUCCUUGUGUGUUUUGCUCGAAAAUGACUUGUCAGACUAGUAGCAUUUUUUCACAAAAUUUUGUACGUACUCACACAAAACAUGUAUAGGAGAACAGAAUAGAGAGUCUGUUUAGAUAUUUUUGACAUACAUGAAAGCUAGAUAUUUUUCUUUUAAUUUUUUCUUUUCAAAAUGUUAGAAUUGAAGUCUUGUAGGACCUUGCAGAUUUAACAAGUAGAAGAAUGUGUUCUUAUGUGUCCUUAAUGCUGACCCUUUGAUAUUUUAGAAUGGUCACAAAUAUCUGUAGGAAUAUUCAAAAUUGUAUGCCUAUGUGUUGCUUUCUGA